rnacentral:rRNA from 1 species
GUCUUGACNUCCCUUGACCNCUUGAGAGAUCAAGCUUUCCCUUCGGGGACAAGGUGACAGGUGGUGCAUGGUUGUCGUCAGCUCGUGUCGUGAGAUGUUGGGUUAAGUCCCGCAACGAGCGCAACCCCUAUUGUUAGUUGCCAUCAUUAAGUUGGGCACUCUAGCGAGACUGCCGGUGAUAAACCGGAGGAAGGUGGGGAUGACGUCAAAUCAUCAUGCCCCUUAUGACCUGGGCUACACACGUGCUACAAUGGACAGUACAAUGAGUUGCGAGACCGCGAGGUUUAGCUAAUCUCUUAAAGCUGUUCUCAGUUCGGAUUGUAGGCUGCAACUCGCCUACAUGAAGCCGGAAUCGCUAGUAAUCGUGGAUCAGAACGCCACGGUGAAUACGUUCCCGGG